rnacentral:rRNA from 1 species
GACAGAGGGUGCAAACGUUGUUCAGAAUUACUGGGCGUAAAGCGUGUGUAGGCGGCUAGGUAAGUCGGAUGUGAAAGCCCCGGGCUCAACUCGGGAAGUGCACUCGAUACUGCUUAGCUCGAGUACCGGAGAGGUUGGUGGAAUUCUCGGUGUAGAGGUGAAAUUCGUAGAUAUCGAGAGGAACACCGGUGGCGAAGGCGGCCAACUGGACGAGUACUGACGCUGAGACACGAAAGCGUGGGGAGCAAACAGG